AAGUAAGUCAGUAUAUUGGGAUGUUUCCCGCACAUUCAAUGGCAGGAAUGAAGGAAAAGCAAAAGGGGGAUAUAAAUCCCCCUUUUUAUACUAACU
rfam:Buttiauxella agrestis ATCC 33320 GBAG.assembly.020, whole genome shotgun sequence.